rnacentral:rRNA from 1 species
GACGACCGCUGGCGGCGUGCUUAACACAUGCGAGUCGAACGGAAAGGCCCUGCUUUUGUGGGGUGCUCGAGUGGCGAACGGGUGAGUAACACGUGAGUAACCUGCCCUUGACUUUGGGAUAACUUCAGGAAACUGGGGCUAAUACCGGAUAGGAGCUCCUGCUGCAUGGUGGGGGUUGGAAAGUUUCGGCGGUUGGGGAUGGACUCGCGGCUUAUCAGCUUGUUGGUGGGGUAGUGGCUUACCAAGGCUUUGACGGGUAGCCGGCCUGAGAGGGUGACCGGCCACAUUGGGACUGAGAUACGGCCCAGACUCCUACGGGAGGCAGCAGUGGGGAAUAUUGCACAAUGGGCGGAAGCCUGAUGCAGCAACGCCGCGUGCGGGAUGACGGCCUUCGGGUUGUAAACCGCUUUCGCCUGUGACGAAGCGUGAGUGACGGUAAUGGGUAAAGAAGCACCGGCUAACUACGUG